rnacentral:lncRNA from 1 species
AUGCCAACAGCAGCCUCCUCUGCUCAUCUCUCCCGCUGUCCCCAUCAGAAAAUCCGUAACCACAACCUUUCCCAGCCUUUAAGCUGCCUCUGGAGAGUCAGGGAAGCCAAUGGCAUCAUUGUUCAGGCAGCAAGUGUGCUGCACCUCGUUGUGCAGAAGCUUGGUGGGCGUCCGUGACUUCAGGAGCCCGUGAGAAGGGGAAGCCGUCGGUAUUAUGCCUCAUGCCAAAGGAACCGGACUACCCACCAGGGACAGUUACUUGUCUUUUACAAUACCCGGGAAGUGCCCUUCAUCACAGACGCUGAAGUUUGACUGUGGCCUUAUGCAGUACAUUGUGCUGACAUAUUUUCUCAUGGGAACUGUUGGGCUAGUUCAGGCAAGUAUCUGCAAUGCUUAAACAGACAGUUUCAGGCUGGAGAAUUUAAGAGACAACCAAAUAGAGUUUUAAUGCCCUGUAAGAUAAUAACGAAAGACAUUUAUGAAAAAAAAAAUUCCAGUUAGUUUGAAAGCCAGGGCCCGCACUCCAUAUUUUGACAGCAGAUGGAUGGCUAGCUUGACUGAUCCUGGUUUACUUUCUGACUUGAAUUUGUCCCCUAGUCCAGUGAAAUCAUAAGGGCUCCCUUCAAUCUGGUUAAUGUUCAGAACCAAUGUUUGAAUUUUAGACUAAUUAAGGGGCAACCACUGACAUUUUUUCUAUAAUGUGAAGACUGGUGCCAGCAGUAACUCAGUGAGAUUUAACAUAAAAGCCAGAUAAAACAAUUAAAGUGGAAGAAUAUUUGAUUAAGUGGAUCACUGAUUUAUAGUGAGGUAAAUUGAAAUUGAAAGGAGAGUGAACUUUUUAUGGCAAUCAUAUAUUACGUUCAUUAUCAGAGACUCUGGAUCCUUUGUGCUUUUGUGAUUU